rnacentral:rRNA from 1 species
CAGUCGCCGCGGGAAUACGUAGGGUGCGAGCGUUAAUCGGAAUUACUGGGCGUAAAGCGUGCGCAGGCGGUUCGUUAAGUCUGUUGUGAAAGCCCCGGGCUCAACCUGGGAAUGGCAAUGGAUACUGGCGAGCUAGAGUGUGUCAGAGGAUGGUGGAAUUCCCGGUGUAGCGGUGAAAUGCGUAGAGAUCGGGAGGAACAUCAGUGGCGAAGGCGGCCAUCUGGGACAACACUGACGCUGAGGCACGAAAGCGUGGGGAGCAAACAGGAUUAGAUACCCCAGUAGUCCCUGUCUCUUAUAA